GAUGAACGCUGGCGGCGUGCCUAAUACAUGCAAGUCGAGCGAGCGGCGGACGGGUGAGUAAUGUCUGGGAAACUGCCUGAUGGAGGGGGAUAACUACUGGAAACGGUAGCUAAUACCGCAUACCAUCAGAUGUGCCCAGAUGGGAUUAGCUAGUAGGUGGGGUAACGGCUCACCUAGGCGACGAUCCCUAGCUGGUCUGAGAGGAUGACCGGCCACACGGGAACGGAGACACGGUCCAGACUCCUACGAGAGGCAGCAGUGGGGAAGAUUGCACAAUGGGCGCAAGCCUGAGGCAGCCAUGCCGCGUGUAUGAAGAAGGCCUUCGGGUUGUAAAGUACUGUCAGCGGGGAGGCGUUACCCGCAGAAGAAGCACCGGCUAACGCCGUGCCAGCAGCCGCGGUAAUAC
rnacentral:rRNA from 1 species